rnacentral:rRNA from 1 species
CGACGAGUGGCGAACGGGUGAGUAAUACAUCGGAACGUGUCCGCUCGUGGGGGACAACCAGCCGAAAGGUUGGCUAAUACCGCAUGAGUUCUACGGAAGAAAGAGGGGGACCCGCAAGGGCCUCUCGCGAGCGGAGCGGCCGAUGACUGAUUAGCCGGUUGGUGAGGUAACGGCUCACCAAAGCAACGAUCAGUAGCUGGUCUGAGAGGACGACCAGCCACACUGGGACUGAGACACGGCCCAGACUCCUACGGGAGGCAGCAGUGGGGAAUUUUGGACAAUGGGCGCAAGCCUGAUCCAGCUAUUCCGCGUGUGGGAUGAAGGCCCUCGGGUUGUAAACCACUUUUGUAGAGAACGAAAAGACAUCUUCGAAUAAAGGAUGUUGCUGACGGUACUCUAAGAAUAAGCACCGGCUAACUACGUGCCAGCAGCCGCGGUAAUACGUAGGGUGCGAGCGUUAAUCGGAAUUACUGGGCGUAAAGGGUGCGCAGGCGGUUGAGUAAGACAGAUGUGAAAUCCCCGAGCUUAACUCGGGAAUGGCAUAUGUGACUGCUCGACUAGAGUGUGUCAGAGGGAGGUGGAAUUCCACGUGUAGCAGUGAAAUGCGUAGAUAUGUGGAAGAACACCGAUGGCGAAGGCAGCCUCCUGGGACAUAACUGACGCUCAGGCACGAAAGCGUGGGGAGCAAACAGGAUUAGAUACCCUGGUAGUCCACGCCCUAAACGAUGUUAACUAGUUGUUGGGAUGUAACAAUCUCAGUAACGCAGCCAACGCGAGAAGUUAACCGCCUGGGAAGUACGGUCGCAAGACUAAAACUCAAAGGAAUUGACGGGGACCCGCACAAGCGGUGGAUGAUGUGGAUUAAUUCGAUGCAACGCGAAAAACCUUACCUACCCUUGACAUGUCAGGAAGCUCUUGUAAUGAGAGCGUGCCCGCAAGGGAGCCUGAACACA